CAUGCAAGUCGAACGGGAAACCUUUUAUUGAAGCUUCGGCAGAUUUAGAUUGUUUCUAGUGGCGGACGGGUGAGUAACGCGUGGGUAACCUGCCUUAUACAGGGGGAUAACAGUCAGAAAUGACUGCUAAUACCGCAUAAGCGCACAGAGCUGCAUGGCUCGGUGUGAAAAACUCCGGUGGUAUAAGAUGGACCCGCGUUGGAUUAGCUAGUUGGUGAGGUAACGGCCCACCAAGGCGACGAUCCAUAGCCGGCCUGAGAGGGUGAACGGCCACAUUGGGACUGAGACACGGCCCAGACUCCUACGGGAGGCAGCAGUGGGGAAUAUUGCACAAUGGGGGAAACCCUGAUGCAGCGACGCCGCGUGAAGGAAGAAGUAUCUCGGUAUGUAAACUUCUAUCAGCAGGGAAGAAAAUGACGGUACCUGACUAAGGAGCCCCGGCUAACUACGUGCCAGCAG
rnacentral:rRNA from 1 species